CCUUAGGCAUCUGCUAUUCGCUUGAUAAACGCUAUGGUAAAACACAGGAGGGAUACAGAGGAGUCCAGAUGAGACAAGGAAACAAGGAGACUGCAUAAAUUGUGAACCCUCUAUUUGAAAUAAAUAUUUAAAAAAAAGAUAAGUCUUCAGUUUCAUCUAUGUUAUUUUAGGAAUGCGAGAGGAGAAACAAGAUAAAGACCAGAGGAGACAAGCAGAGGAGAUGCCAUGCACUGUGAACCCCCUCAUUAAAAAAGAUAAAGAGGAGAGAAGGGAGGAAGCAGCGUCCCCUGUAAACUCUCAUUUAAAAAAAGAUAAGUAUAAAUUUUAUUCGUUGUUAUUAUCAGAAUUCCUUUACAGAUAAAUAGUUCCUCUUGGGCUUAAGUUGUUUAUUAACUAUUACUUUCACUGUCUCCCAUUUGUCUCUUAGAGUAAAGAGAUGAGAUGACACGAGGACAAACAAGACAAAGACCAGAGGAGACAAGCAGAGGAGAUGCCAUGCACUGUGAACCCCUUCAUUAAAAAAGAUAAAGAGGAGAGAAGGGAGGAGGCAGCAUGCCCUGUAAACUCUCAUUUAAAAAAAGCUAAGUAUACAUUUAUUCUUUGUUAUUAUCAGAAUUUCUGUACAGAUAAAUAGUUCCUCUGGUGCUGCAGUUGUUUAUUAACUAUUGCCUUCUUAAUACUAUUAACUUCCUCCUGCCCCUUGUCUCGACUAGACAAAGUUUUUAAUUCAAAUAAAACCAACAAA